GAUAAGGUGGCUGAGAUUUAAGCGGUAGAUUGUAAAUCUAUUAACGAGGGGUGUCCUCCUUUAUCA
rnacentral:tRNA from 1 species